rnacentral:lncRNA from 1 species
CUAGUAAUCUUUAUUCAACACAAAUAAAGGGGAAAACAAUACCCAUGGCUCCUUACACAUGAUUCUUAGUCCAUGACCAUCUGUAGAAUGAAUGAAUGAACAAAAAUAGCCACCAGUGGUUGGGUGCUUACCAGUAGCACUUUACACAUAUUAGCUCAUUUAAUCUAUACAACAGCUCUAUAAGGUAGACACUGUCACUGUUUAAAGCUUAAAGAUACAAAAGCUCAAAGAGAUUUGGUAUGGCAGCUUUGCUGAAGCUACCAAAAUAAUGGAUAAACCAUAUGAAGUUGCCUAUAUCCCAUCUUUUAAAAAAUACAAAUGCCACAUGCCUCUUGAAUCCAUGGAUCAAUGAAUGGCAGAAGGGGAGAGGGAUGGAGAGAAAGAGCAGGCAUAGGAAGAAAGAGUGAUGGAGAGAACAGGAAUGAAAGGGAAGACUUUCACAGGCACUGUAACUAUCUGGGUAAUUCCUACAAGGCCAGACGAUUCCAAUGUAAUCUUCUGUGUAAUUGUUGCCAUGCAGAACAGGCUGGACUCCAGACCUAGCAGUUUCUGGCCAGUGCGCAGAACAACAGAGAGAAAGGCCUCUCCUGUAUGCUCAGCCGCAGAAGGGCCUUAUGGGUGGCUUCCUGUUGGGACAGGAGUCAGGCUCUCCAGCUCCUACCCAACCCACAAUCCUGUGCAGACCAGCCACGCUCUGCUGGGUUUGGCGUCACAGAGGCAUUCCUUCCCUUUCUUUCAGCCCCUAAUUGCUCUUCAGGGCCGUGGGGGUCUCCCUACUGGCUGGCAGCCUAUGAGGCUGGCCAGACUGAACUCACUGUUCCAUGGGAUCACGCAUGAAGGCCUCUUAAAAGCACUGGUUCUCUCACCAUCAGAAGCUGGAUCAGCCCAGCAGAGAUGAGAGUAAACCACCACGUACCAAGGCGUGAUUUCCACCCGCUCCCCGCCCCCCAAACUGGCACUGUGUCACUGGAACAAGGACUCACAGAGCAGCAUGAGGGAUGGCUCCUCAGAGAAAGAGCAUGGGCUAGGAGCAGUGAGUCUUGAGUUGCAGGCCUGGAUCUGCCUCUGUGUGUGACCUGAUGCAAGUCCCCUCCUCUCUCUAGGGUAGGAGACUGACAGGCUCUUGGGCUUGAACAUCUCUUCUAAGCCUUAUAACAACCCCAUGAUGCAGGUAUAAAGCUUUUCGUUACAGGUAAGAAACCUGUUGCUCAGAGACACUAGGUGACUUGUACAGUGUCACACAGCAAGAAAAUGAGGAGUCAGGAUGUGAUUCCAGGCUGGCCUGGCUUUGAAGCCCUGUAUUCUCACCACUGCCCCUCAGGGGCUCUGCUCCUUCAUUUGUAAUAAGGGUUAAUGGUCAUGGUCAUUAUCUUAACUUCUCAUGCUUGGGCAAAAAAAAAAAAAAAAAAAAAAAGCCUCUCUCUUAAGGCACUUCAUGGGCUCUCAAGUCAUCAGUGUUAGGAAUUAGAAUCAUUAUGUUGUUUCUCCCACCAUUUCCAGCCUCAGUUUUCAAAAUUUCCACCUCCAUGAUUUUUGCCAUAUCCUCAUAUCACAUAUGCUAAUACUUAAUGUUUGUCUUUAAAUCAAAUUUAAAUCAACUAAUUUUUAAAAAGUUAAUAUCCUCCUAAGCAAU